GGCAUUGUGUAUUGUGCUUCGUUAAAUUUAUAAUUGUGAAUUGUAUUGUUGUUUAAUUGCUUGAAAAUGUUAAUAGUCGCGAAGUAUUUGAGUUUAUUUGUGUAGUGUUAUUAGAAGUAACGAGAAUAACGUAUGUUUAACGUAAUUAAAGUGUUUUUCUUGCGGUGCAAUUAAAUUUUUCGUGUGUGUAAAAAAAUAUGGAAGCAAAGUGCGCAGCAGAAAAAAUACGUUCGACAAGGAUGGCAGCAUAUUCGCGUGGAUCAUCAACUUUAUUCACUUAUCUACGAAAACAACAUCGACUUUCCACCGUUUAAGAGGUCUCUCGCUACUCGAUGUCGAGGUGGAUGCCACAAAAGUGCAGUCCUUGUGGUCGCUUGCUGGCUUGUUGAUGCCCCCGAGGCCCGCCACGUUAAUGGAAAUUAAUCACAAAUACAACAGCAAUUUGUUUGAAUGCGAAUGUGUUUUGUUAUUUUAAUGGGAAUGCGAAUGGAGGCAGACAUGCGAUGCUGAUGUUGAUUUAAAUGCUGAUUAUGAUUUCGAUUGUGAUGCUGA